CGGUUGUGUGUGAGGGCUGAGGGCGCGGCCCCGCUGCUGCCCGGGCUGCGGAGGGGAGAGCGCCUUGGCCGCUGGCCUGGCUCGUGGUUUCCCUGGUGCUGGGGAGUGGAGGCGAGUUGUGCUUCCUGCUGGGAGAGAGAAGGGCCUUGGGAAGCUGCUCCAUGAGCCACAGCUGUGCCGAGCCCGGGAGUCUGUCCAGCAGGAUGUCGAGUGCCACCGUGUCCCUGAGGUUCCCCUUUCUGCUGUUGGGAGAGCACGAGGUGGAUGGAGAGGAUCCCCAGCCAUCUGCAGGCAAAAGGGACUCGCACAACUGCGAUUUUUCUCCAGGUCUCUUAAGGGGGACUUUCAGGGUACCAUGGGAGAAAAUCUGGAAAGCAGGAAGGAAGAAAAGAAGCCCCCUGACUCCUCCUGAGCCCCAGACAGCCCAUGAACUGCCUUGCUGGGAAUGGUAGGACAGGCUGGACUCUGGAUUGCUCCCUCUGGAUGUGUGGAAAGACUGAACUCCUGGUGCCGCCUGGGCCGAUGGAUUGGACGCCCCAGCCCCUCCGUUCCUGCCCAGCCACUGGGUCCGUGUCCAGUGGUGGCACUGCCAGCCCUGCAGUGGGAUGUAGCCUGGAAACAGCACAGAGCUGAGCCAAGGGAUUGAAAGGGACCAAGCAAGGGAGGUGAAGGAAGAAGGGAAGUGAGGCAGCAGGCAAGCAGCAGCAAGUUGCUGUGUAAGCAGGAUGUGAAUGCAAGAACCUGCCAAGGAACCAAUGACCAAGAUGAUUGAUCAGUGCAGGAUCUGAGAGAAGCACCUUGAAUGACAACCUCGAGCAGUUUCCAGUAUUGGAUUGAAAAGAUGGCCUUUGCUGCAUCUCCUUGAGCAAGGAAAGCCAAGAAACCCAUGAUUUGGAAGGAGAAAACCUGGAAAGGAGGAAGGAAGAAAAGAAGCUCCCUGACUCCUCCUGAGCCCCAGACAGCCCAUGAACUGCCUUGCUGGGAAUGGUGGGACGGGGUGGACUCUGGAUUGCUCCCUCUGGAUGUGUGGAACUCCAGGAACUCCUGGUGCCGCCUGGGCCGAUGGAUUGGACGCCCCAGCCCCUCCGUUCCUGCCCAGCCACUGGGUCCGUGUCCAGUGGUGGCACUGCCAGCCCUGCAGUGGGAUGUAGCCUGGAAAGUGCACAGAGCUGAGCCAAGGGAUUGAAAGGGACCAAGCAAGGGAGGUGAAGAAAGAAGGAAGAAGGGAACUGAGGCAUGAGCCAAGCAGCAGCAAGUUGCUGUGUAAGCAGAAGUUGCCCUUGAUGAACUUCCCAUCUGAGCUGAUGCCCUUGGCAGGAGAAGUGCUCAGCAAGGAGGCUCUUUGCUCCUAGGCAGGAAGAAAGAGGGAUAAUAACUCCUGUCAGCAGCAAGGUCCCGACUGAAGUGGCAGCUGCAGUUGUUCCUGUCGUGUGGGCCAGUGGAAUUCCAAGAAAAUGGACAAGGACAGAAGCUGUAAGAAUUACCCCUAAGGCAGAGUCUCUCCUGGCAGAAGAGCCCAGGCCUGAGCUGGCUGAGUGUUGGUGUGAGCCAGAGUGGGUGUCCCUGCCCUCGGACCAGUCCCCAGAGCUGCCUUUGGCAUCCCCUGCUGAAGGGUGGGAGCUGCCCAGAGCCAGCAGCAUCCAGCUGGAGGAUCCAGGAGGAUGCAGCUCUGCUUUGCUGGGAGCUUGUCCAGGAGAUGGAAUUCCAGUGCUACAGUCUGGGUGGGUCAUGGUGCUCCCAAAAGGAGCCUUUGUGCCUUCAGGACAAGUUUUGGUGCCACUGGAGCUGCUGGGAGAAGCAUAGGGUUGGCAGUGAGAGGCCUGGAAUGAUGUUGCUGUGGCACAGAAGAAAUGAGCAGUGAUGGUACAAUUGACUAUUUUGUCUUGAAUGUAAUGGACGUGAAUGCAAGAACCUGCCAAGAAAACCAAUGGCCAAGAUGAUUGAUGAGUGCAGGACCUGAGAGAACCC